AUUGAACGCUGGCGGCGUGCCUUACACAUGCAAGUCGAACGGCAGCACGGGUGCUUGCACCUGGUGGCGAGUGGCGAACGGGUGAGUAAUACAUCGGAACGUACCUUAUCGUGGGGGAUAACGCAGCGAAAGCUGUGCUAAUACCGCAUACGCCCUGAGGGGGCAAGCGGGGGAUCGCAAGACCUCGCGCGAUUAGAGCGGCCGAUGCCUGAUUAGCUUGUUGGUGGGGUAAAAGCCCACCAAGGCGACGAUCAGUAGCUGGUCUGAGAGGACGAUCAGCCACACUGGGACUGAGACACGGCCCAGACUCCUACGGGAGGCAGCAGUGGGGAAUUUUGGGCAAUGGGGGCAACCCUGAUCCAGCAAUGCCGCGUGAGUGAAGAAGGCCUUCGGGUUGUAAAGCUCUUUUGUCAGGGAAGAAACACCGGCUCUAACACAGUCCGGGAAUGACGGUACCUGAAGAAUAAGCACCGGCUAACUACGUGCCAGCCGCCGCAGUAA
rnacentral:rRNA from 1 species